GUUGUAUGGCACCUGUUAAACACAGACAGUGAAGUGUUCUUUAUUUAUUUAGCUGUUUCAUCAAUUCACCUCCAGUAAUCCCACAAACUACAAUUUAAUCAAACAGUUUUUCCGAUAGACCAAUCAGAGCAGCUGUUACUUUAUAAGGCCAUAUACUGUAACUCCUGUUCUGGCUCCGUUAAGCCAUCCCCAUAACUGAAGCCCUGAAACAUGAAAUAUGGGAUUUGAUGACGACGCCUUGGCCAGCUUCUAAUUAGGGAGUCUCCCAUAUGUAAGGCCAGUGGGAAUACAGUCUGGGGAUAUUUAAGGCCGGACCCUGAGGUGCGACUGCUGAGGGGACAUUGGCCAGAGCGACACGCCGUGCUCGUGUUACAGUGCUGCUGACGGGAAGCGAGGCGGAGGGGUUGGAAUGGGCCGAGGAGAGGUUUGGGAGCGGUGGGGGGUGGGGGAGGCGUAGGUGGGAGCUGUGGGGUUUGCAGCGCAAGCAAAGUCUUCAGCAGUGAGACACGGAGUGAAGAGUUUCUGCUGUCCUGAAACCAGAUCCAGGCAGACGGUGAGGUGGAUCAGGCAGCGGAGAGGCACAGUUCAGAGUGGAAAGAGAAAAGUUUUAAUAAACCUGCAAGCGGAUCCAUCGUCUGCGGCGGACACAGGAGUUCCACUUCUUGUCUGGGGAGAAGUUGGCUGGAAAAUCCACAGCGUACUCCCAGCCCUACAGAAGAAGGGAAACAAAAUGCUUGGCGGAGGCCGAAAAUUUGCUCCAUUUAUUAAUCAAAUAACCCUCAAAGAGAAGUAGAAAAA